GAUGAACGCUGGCGGCGUGCUUAACACAUGCAAGUCGAACGAGAAGUGAAGACGGAAACCUUCGGGCGGAAGGCUUUAUUUCGAGUGGCGGACGGGUGAGUAACGCGUGGGUAACCUGCCUCAUACAGGGGGAUAACAGUUGGAAACGACUGUUAAUACCGCAUAAGACCACAGCACCGCAUGGUGCGGGGGUAAAAACUCCGGUGGUAUGAGAUGGGCCCGCGUUCGAUUAGCCAGUUGGCGGGGUAACGGCCCACCAAAGCGACGAUCGAUAGCCGAUCUGAGAGGAUGACCGGCCACAUUGGGACUGAGACACGGCCCAAACUCCGACGGGAGGCAGCAGUGGGGAAUAUUGCACAAUGGGGGAAACCCUGAUGCAGCGACGCCGCGUGAGUGAAGAAGUAUUUCGGUAUGUAAAGCUCUAUCAGCAGGGAAGAAAAUGACGGUACCUGAGUAAGAAGCCCCGGCUAACUACGU
rnacentral:rRNA from 1 species